GGGACUGUGGCUCAGUGGCAAAAGCAUCUGCCUGGCACACAGAAGGUGCCAGGUUCGAUCCCUGGCGUCCCCA
rnacentral:tRNA from 1 species